UACGUAGGGGGCAAGCGUUGUCCGGAUUUACUGGGCGUAAAGAGCGGUGUAGGCGGCCAAACAGGUCCGUUGUGAAAACUGGAGGCUCAACUUCCAGACGUCGACGGAAACCGUGUGGCUAGAGUCCGGAAGAGGAGAGUGGAAUUCCGUGGUGUAGCGGUGAAAUGCGCAGAUAUCAGGAAGAACACCAAUGGCGAAGGCAGCUCUCUGGGACGGUAGCUGACGCUGAGACGCGAAAGCGUGGGAGCGAACAGG
rnacentral:rRNA from 1 species